rnacentral:lncRNA from 1 species
AAUUUGAUAUUGUUUGCAAAUUUCUAGAGAGGAAAGGCUCAAAAGAUUGGAAGCAGUACAUGUAGCCAACUCACUUGUAUAGCACAUAUGUGAAAUGCAGUUAAAUAUCAGGGUGCAUACACAAUCCAUCUUGAAUGAUUCAAUCAUAUAAACGCUUUGAUGUCACGAUUCAGCAAUCCAAAAACUUUAUUGGAAAGGUCAAUUUUGAUCAUUGGUGCCAUAGCAUUUCAUAGUCGUAGCCCUGAAAAUAGUUCCAAAAUAUUCUUCUACAUGCUUUGACAGAAAGUAAAUAAACAUGCAUUGAGAUUUGAGAAAGCUAAUUAAAUAAGCCAUGAUCAACAAAAGAGGGCAAAUGAAGCAGAAGUUUGUAGUAAAGCUGUGGAGCCUCUCACCUAGCACGGAGAUCAACCAAGAAACUCUAGAAGUUGAUGCUGUCGAUGACUUAUUUCUAACUUCUAAGAUAGCAUCUGAUGAAUUAGGGUUCCAAGAACAGCAACGAGCAAGAAUGAUGAUUAGCAUUCAACGAAGAGAUAAUAAAGAGCAAGGAAACACCUUCGAUUUCAAGCGAUCAGGAAAAGUAAUGCACAAGCCCACCAUGGGGUUCUAUCAUGCCCAGUUGAGCCGAGGUACAAGGAGCGCUUCCAGCUACGAAGAGCCGCCGGCCCCAACUCCCGCUGAUCUAUAGAUCCGACGGCGAAAUCCUCCACGAUGGCCCUCGCCUUCAGCCGUCGUCGUCCAUCGCCUCCGGUCCCUUCUUACGGUUCCCUUUUUGUUUGCUUCUAUAUUUCAUUGCAAAAAUGUAUUUAUGUUUUAUUUUUGACUUGGAAAACUUCAAGAUGCAAUUUUUUCUGAAAUCCAAACAAGUAGUUUCAUUUCAUUUAGGAUAGAGCAGAGCAGAGCAGAGCAUCCCCUGUUCA